ACUACUUUUGCUUUUUUCAUCAUGCAGGCUGCCAUUGUGAAGAGUUCACUGUAUAUCUACAGCUUCUGAGUUAAUAUAAAAGAAUAUGCAAGCAGUAUGCAUGGACAAUUUGUUUUUAAGACGAGUUACUUAUAAAGGAACUGCGGGGCAGCCUACAUGCAACCCACUGUUAUGUUGUUUACUAAAGGAACCACAAUCUAAAUUGAUUAAUUAAUUGAUUAACUUUGGGAUAGAUUUGAUCAGAAUGGAUGUUGCAUCCAGUCAGCUGGGCAAUUUCCUGAAUUUAGUUCAAGGAAAAUCUGGCCAGAUGGCUGGUUGUGUUUAAGCUGAUAAAUUGCUGGGUUCCUGCCGACUUAAGUGGUGUUGAUGAAAUGCUGUGGUGGCUGGAUUUCCUGUUUUCUGCAUCCCAGUGCCCUGAGGAUAUCUUACACCUCUCUGGAAUUGAUGAAAAUCAUAGUAAUUAUAAAAUAAAAUGCUGCUGCUUCUCUUA